ensembl:lncRNA
AUGGUGAAGUGUGUACUUUCUACCCCACAGCGACUGAAUAGCAAAAAUAAUUGUUUUCACACAGGUUUCCUUGAACAUGCCUCUCAUCUGUCAUUGGUCAGACCAACAGAUAGCAACGCCCUCAAACUCACACCAUCUGUUGCUGUUGUCGGACAUCCUUAUUUGGCCUUGACUCGUGCAUCCAUGAGGAUAUGCAAAAGAACAGCAGACUUGGCAAAAUUCCAUCUUUCCCCUCCAAUCAAGACAGCAUUACUAAUAAACAUUUGACUAAAACAUUUUUAAAACUAAUCAGUGUUUAAUUAAACAUGUCUAUGUUUGUGUGCAUGUUUAUAUAUGUGUAUAAACCUGGUUGCUGUUGUAUUGCAAUAAAGAUUAGGUGCUGCUGAACGCAGCUUUUGUCUGGACACACACACACACACACACACACACACACACACACACACACACACACACACACACACACACAGGGAUGUGUUAUUCUUUCUUCCAGACAUAUUUUUUGAAAUGUGAACAUCCUGUCAAAACGUGCAGAUUGCAGCAUGCACAAAAAUAUAAACUUCUGUCUUUAUUAAAUAUUAUGUUUCCCUCUCUGUGCAUACAUACAGACUUACUGUAACACUAUUUUUAUGUUGUUUUGGUGUCUAGCAGCACGGAGAUGGUCAGAACAUCCUUGAAUAUUUUUUAUUUUUUAAUUUUUUUUAUGGCUAAGGAUGAAAGAGAUUAGUUGAAAAUUAAAGGCUUUCAUAUUUACUCUGCUGGUGUUUUUCUCUUGUCGUGCCGCUCUAUAAACCCAAGCGCUUUGCAGAACCUUUCUUUAGAAGUUCGUAAGCCUCUGCCUCUAUAUGUGUGUGUGUGUGUGUGUGUUUUUGCAAUCAGAGUCUGUGCUGUGGCUUAUUGGUUUGGUGUAAUUUGGGAGUAGCUCUAUUAAAAGAGAUGCUUUUGUUUACACAACAUUUUGACAGCGUUCCCCUGCCCCUCCCAGAACAUUAUGGUUAGAGUGUGGGAUACAGGCUUCGUAUAGCUGCACGAAGACAGGCUUGAAGAAAGUGACCACACGACCAUCCCUCUGACCAUACUUAGACACGGUAACAGUAACUUUACUGCAGGAGAGAGCGUUGUGUGUGUGUGUGUGUGAGAGAGAGAGAGAGAGAGAGUACAGAAGCAGUAGUGGGUUUCUUGCUUGGGUUGGCAUGGUUCUCGGUGAGUGAAGAUUAAACAUAGCACUGCUGACAGAGAGAAAUGCCUUAUACAAACAAGAUCCACUCACAGAGAGAUGUGUGAGUGAAAGAACGAGGGGAGAGAGAGAGAUAAAGAAGGAAAAGAACAACAAAAUUACCAAAAACUUCACUUUCAGAUCGUUAUCCUAAAAUGUCCACAUAACAAUAUAAUGAAUUGGUCACACUGUAAAAUAUAUAUGGCAAGUCAAUUAACGUUAACUCAACUUACAACUGUGAACUU